CCUACGGGAGGCAGCAGUGGGGAAUAUUGCACAAUGGGCGAAAGCCUGAUGCAGCAACGCCGCGUGAAGGAAGACGGUUUUCGGAUUGUAAACUUCUAUCACUAGGGAAGAAAGAAAUGACGGUACCUAAAUAAGAAGCCCCGGCUAACUACGUGCCAGCAGCCGCGGUAAUACGUAGGUGGCGAGCGUUAUCCGGAUUUAUUGGGCGUAAAGCGUCCGCAGCCGGUUUAUUAAGUCUAAGAUUAAAGCCCGAAGCUUAACUUCGGUUCGUUUUAGAAACUGGUAGACUCGAGUGUGGUAGAGGC
rnacentral:rRNA from 1 species